AACAUUUUCACAUGGGAAUCUUAUUAAAAUGUAGAUUUGAAUUCAGUGGGUCUGAAGGGAAGGGUUGAACAGACCAAGAUUCUGCAUUUUUAAUAUGCUCCCAGAGAAAGCUUG
rnacentral:pre_miRNA from 1 species